rnacentral:rRNA from 1 species
CGAGAAAGCCCGCAAGGGUGAGUAAAGCGGCGCACGGGUGCGUAACACGUGGGUAAUCUGCCCUAGAGUCCGGAAUAACUCGCCGAAAGGCGUGCUAAUGCCGGAUGAGACCACGGGAGCUUCGGCUUCUGCGGGAAAAGGUGGCCUCUGUAUACAAGCUGUCACUCCAAGAUGAGCCCGCGGCCCAUCAGCUAGUUGGCGGGGUAAUGGCCCACCAAGGCUACGACGGGUAGCUGGUCUGAGAGGACGAUCAGCCACACUGGAACUGAGACACGGUCCAGACUCCUACGGGAGGCAGCAGUGGGGAAUCUUGCGCAAUGGGCGAAAGCCUGACGCAGCAACGCCGCGUGUGUGAUGAAGGUCUUCGGAUCGUAAAGCACUGUCGCGAGGGACG